rnacentral:rRNA from 1 species
GGAAGUAAAAGUCGUAACAAGGUCUCCGUUGGUGAACCAGCGGAGGGAUCAUUACCGAGUUUACAACUCCCAAACCCAAUGUGAACCAUACCAAACUGUUGCCUCGGCGGGGUCACGCCCCGGGUGCGUCGCAGCCCCGGAACCAGGCGCCCGCCGGAGGGACCAACCAAACUCUUUCUGUAGUCCCCUCGCGGACGUUAUUUCUUACAGCUCUGAGCAAAAAUUCAAAAUGAAUCAAAACUUUCAACAACGGAUCUCUUGGUUCUGGCAUCGAUGAAGAACGCAGCGAAAUGCGAUAAGUAAUGUGAAUUGCAGAAUUCAGUGAAUCAUCGAAUCUUUGAACGCACAUUGCGCCCGCCAGUAUUCUGGCGGGCAUGCCUGUCCGAGCGUCAUUUCAACCCUCGAACCCCUCCGGGGGUCCGGCGUUGGGGAUCGGGAACCCCUAAGACGGGAUCCCGGCCCCGAAAUACAGUGGCGGUCUCGCCGCAGCCUCUCAUGCGCAGUAGUUUGCACAACUCGCACCGGGAGCGCGGCGCGUCCACGUCCGUAAAACACCCAACUUCUGAAAUGUUGACCUCGGAUCAGGUAGGAAUACCCGCUGGACUUAAGCAUAUCAAUAAGCGGAGGA